UACGGGGGGGGCAAGCGUUGUUCGGAAUUACUGGGCGUAAAGGGCGCGUAGGCGGUUUGCUAAGUUGGAUGUGAAAACUCUGGGCUUAACCCAGAGCCUGCAUCCAAAACUAGCAGGCUAGAGUUCUGGAGGGGAUAGCGGAAUUCCUGGUGUAGCGGUGAAAUGCGUAGAUAUCAGGAGGAACACCGGUGGCGAAGGCGGCGUUCUGGACUGCAACUGACACUGAGGAACGAAAGCCAGGGGAGCAAACGGG
rnacentral:rRNA from 1 species